GAAUCUAGCUUUAGGUCUGGGACAACCACUGGAAACGGUGGCUAAUACCGGAUGUGCCGAAAGGUGAAAGGUUAACUGCCUGAAGAUGAGCUCGCGUCUGAUUAGCUAGUAGGUAGUGUAAUGGACUACCUAGGCGACGAUCAGUAGCUGGUCUGAGAGGACGAUCAGCCACACUGGGACUGAGACACGGCCCAGACUCCUACGGGAGGCAGCAGUGGGGAAUUUUCCGCAAUGGGCGAAAGCCUGACGGAGCAAUACCGCGUGAGGGAGGAAGGCUCUUGGGUCGUAAACCUCUUUUCUCAGGGAAGAACACAAUGACGGUACCUGAGGAAUAAGCAUCGGCUAACUCCGUGCCAGCAGCCGCGGUAAUACGGAGGAUGCAAGCGUUAUCCGGAAUGAUUGGGCGUAAAGCGUCCGCAGGUGGCUAUGUAAGUCUGCUGUUAAAGAGUCUAGCUCAACUAGAUAAGAGCAGUGGAAACUACAUGGCUAGAGUGCGUUCGGGGCAGAGGGAAUUCCUGGUGUAGCGGUGAAAUGCGUAGAGAUCAGGAAGAACACCGGUGGCGAAGGCGCUCUGCUAGGCCGCAACU
rnacentral:rRNA from 1 species